UUAUUAUUAUUAUAUUCAGAUGUUGGUUGUGUUUACAAUUACAGUACUGGCAGACAGACUCUAUUAGGACUGCCAAAGCUGAUCAUCUAGCCCCAAAUCUGAUCAUAUUACUGAGAACACAGUCUGGGAUUUUACAGGGGCUCGAGACAAAUUGACUCUUUCUUCCUCGCCAGCUCAUCUUGCCGUAUCUAUUUCAGAGCGAGGCACAACAUCUAUUUUAUUGGGCCUCCGACUCUUGCUUGGAUCCUUCUGGGUGGCUGUCAGGCAGAGACCGAGCAAGGUAGACAAGUCCUCACAGUUGCUAUUCUGCCAUCUGGGUCUGAACAUUGGAAACUGCCCCAUGUCUCCCUUUGAGCUGAUGAUCCAAACGGGCCAGAUGAAACCACUGCUGUGUGGGAAGAGCGAAAACAGGAAGAGGAAGGUGCAGAUAUUGCUGUCAGCACAGUUCUUGGAGAGGAACCAUUUCCCCCUUCACUCUGAGUAAUAAACAUUUAGGCUUUGCAUGGCUGAGACCACAGCAUUAUCUUCCAUUUAAUUCUUGCUUGUUGUUACUUAGCUGUUGUCUUUAUUUGAAUGACUAAGCAGCUCUGGAGACAAAAUGUGGCAUUUAUUAGCAGCUCUCAAAAAGGAAAUAGAGCUUUUUUUUUUUUUUCUCCCUCCUGUGGACAAAUGCCUAUGUAGAGGAGCAGUGAAGCUCAGCUUAGAUGUUAUUUUAAGCAGCUCAUUUUUGCUGCCUGACCUAUAUGACUGAGCUAAGGUCACAGGAAAGUGCAUCUUUUUUUCCCAGAUUAGAUGAUGUGCUUCAUGCUUUGGGUUGAUGCUAACAAUUUUGAUUUCUGGGAGUGGAGAUAGAGAUAAAAAGGCACCUUAAUUCUACUACCCCUUGCUAAAUCUUCUCAGAGGAAUUCUGUAAGCUCCUUCUGUAAACUGCAUCAUCCUUUGGUUUCAUCUUCAAAAGUAAGGGCAUCAACCACCCUGUGAAGGACAGCAACAUGGGGUGUUUUUACAUCUCGUAAAAGGAUGAACGCAGCAUAGCUGUCAGUCCUGCUGCAUUCUCAGUUUAUACAGUGCCAUUAAGCUGACUAUCAUAUCGUUCAUGAUGCUGCUUGCAGUUAUUUUAUACAUUGGGUGUAGUUGAUAUGCUAGUGGGCCAGGCUGCCAUCAUUCAGGGGGAUGUGAACAAGCUGGAGAAAUUAGAUGACAGAAGCAUCAUGAAGUUCAAGAAGGCAAAAGCAAAGUCCUGCACCUGUGAAAUAGUGACCCCACACAACAGUACAAACUGGAGACUGGCUAGCUAGAAAUCAGCUUUAUAUAAAAGGACCUGGAGGUCCUGGUGGAUAUAAAGCUGAACACGAGUCAAGAAUGUGCCAUCACAACGAGAGCUGACACCCGGCUGUAUUAGUAACAGUACAACCAGCAGGUUGCUUUCAUGUUGCCUUCUAACCAUAAAUUACCACUUGAUUCCCCAAACUCCAUCACUGCGUUGUCUUUGCUUCCCGUCCCUGGAAAAGCAGGCCUGGUUGGGGUAUGGCUGAGAGGAUCAGAAACAGGAGAAAAGGCAGGGGGCUGUAGAGCUGCUUAUCUCAGCCACGGCUCAUCCUUUGUGUAACACGGAAAGGUCACGCUCACGCCUACUGCACGGGGGCCUCCUUCAGACCCUGCCCGGCAGCUGCAAAUGGAUGAGAAAGAAAAAAGAAAUGAAACCCGAAGCUAAUAACACAAAGAAGAGGAACGCAGCCAUGACGUCUUUUUCCACUGAGAACAUGAAAUGCCGAGAUGUUAUUUCUCCUUCAUCUGAUAGAACACAUUUUGACUUUGUAUUAAUGUGGAGCAGCAGCUGCAUUUUCAAUACAAGUGGUACCUACGUGAUGUUACCCGCGAUCGUAUGCUACCUCGCCACCUCUCCGUGGAGCCCAUCCUCAAUCUCAAGUGUUUUCCUGUUACCUGGUAAGGCCUGAGGGUAAUCCCACCUCAUGGGAACACCUUCUAGGGAAACCUGCUCUGGCCACCUGCUUAUUUCUGGGGCCUGCCUUGGAAGAGCAGCUUGCAGCGAAGCUGGGAGAAGGGCAGAGGCAGCCUCCACCUCCUGAUGUCCCCGAAAUGCCUGCCACCAACUUGCAGUCCUGAGCUGUAUAUUUUAACUGGGUCACUGAGUGAGAGCCAUUUGAAUUCCUCAUGCUCUGCAUCUUUCAAGGAACCGCAGUUUAAGGCUUCAUUUUAAUGUUAAUUUUCCCCACUUACAUGUUCAAAGCUGAGCUUGGAGUUAUGCAAAAAGAGGCAUAUCUCAGUCUAUUCUGAAUCUGAAAUGAACGAAUAUAUAUGAAUGAAUGUUUUAUACCCACACUAUAUUAUAACCUCAUACAUUAGCGCUUUUUACAGCAUGCUUUUGAGGAGGUGAAAGACAAGGGGCUCUCCCUUUUAAACAUGACCCUGUUAAAAAAAAAGUUAUUAAGAAAUUUCCUGAAGGAGCACAAAACAAGAUUCUGCUUGACGCACCCCUGUCUCAGAAAUGCUUUUUUAAACCGAGGAAAAGACUCAAUGUUAACACUGUUUUAGCAGAUCCGGAUCCUGUCCAACUUCUCAGUCCGUUUACGUCUCCUUUGUCUUUUAGGUUUUUGCCAUUUUGCCAAAACGUGGCUCCUGAGGUCAGCCUUGUUAUCUCUAAGCACUAGGAUUGACAGGACCCUUAUUAAAAUUAAGCGAAGGCUGGUGAUGGAGUGAGAUUUAAAGCUGAGGAUGGGGGCUCUUGGGUUCCCCUCCCAGCUGUACCCACAGCCUUCACUCUGGCCAGUGGGCCCCAUGUGUAAGUGUCUGUGCUUCCGUUUGCCUCAAGGUCUUUGCUGACAGAACCAGUUAGAAAAUAUUUUCCUCUCUGUGCAAAAUUCUUACUUCGAUAGCUAAAAAUUACUACUACUACUAAUUACUUUCUGUCCAGGCCCUCAAGUCUGUAGCUAAAAGGUGCAGCCUGCAGGAGGCCGAGAGUCCUGGCAAGGCACCACCACAGGCACAGCUCUGAGAGCUGUGGUUUCCAUACCUCAUGGCACAGUCUCCAGUGAAGGAUGGUGCCUUGGGCCCAGGUGAGCCUCCCUUGUCCACCUGAAUCCUGCCCUGCUGAGCUGCCAUGGGCUACAGCCAACGUGGUGUGAGCCUUGGCCAUCAGAGGCUUCAGAACUGCUGCUCCCAUGAAGAGAUGGAGAAUUAUUUCUAAUCGCAGGUUCUUUUUUUUGUUGCUUCUGGACAAUUUCUUUCAGGUAAGUUAGCAAAGUGAAUAAUGAAACGUGCUGCUUAGCCAGCACAGUGCCUGUCCAUCAUGAUUGACAUUACCAACCCUUGCUUCGGGCAGUUGUGUUUGCUUUGAGGUGGCUGCAGCCAGCUGGCUGGCAUGCUGGCUGUGAUCAUUUCAAGCCAAUUGUUGCUUCCCCAAACCCAAAGGAGUGUGAGCACCCAGCUCAGGGCUUCCUCCCCAUCUCCUGCCAGCACAGAAGGGGUUGGGAAGGGGUUGUGUCAGGUUCACUUGUUAGCACGCUGGUAAAAGUGGCCCUUGAGGCAAGUGGGAUGGCCUUGUUGAGCUGAAAAUUGGGUGAGUUGAAGUAGUCACUGAUGGUAUGGGCAGUGGCUGGAAGCAUGAGUGGGGCUUUGGGGAUGGACAGAAUGAGGAAAGGCUCUGAAAGUGUGGACAAGGAGGAAGAAGCAGAAUUAGACUGGUGGUUCCAAGCAGAUGGUACUCUUCAAAUGACCAGGCAGGAAAAGCAGCUUCAGAAGCAAGACAAAAUGAUAGGUGGCCGGCCAGCAAAAAAAAAAAAAAAAAAAAAAAAAAAAGGGCUAAAAAGUGAAUGAUACAGGUUUUACUGCAGAAAUAUACAGCAAAAGAAUUUAAUUACAGUCAUGAUUUAUUAAAAUGAGCUGGGAAGCAUCCCAGUUCAGAGCAGCUUUUUAUAGAGGAGGCAGCCCACAUAUUGCCUAUCUAAUUAGCACGAGAGAUUUGUGGACAUAGGAUGUGGAAAAUGGCAGCCACAGGGUGAGUGGAAGUGUGUCUGUAAAUCACAGUUUGACAAAUGAGGGAGAAGGCUGCCUUGGCUCAUCGCAGCCACUCCCCUGUCUGCGUCUGUUCCUUUCUUUCCAAUCCAGAGCUGAAGUGUUUGUCCCUUCAAACAGCUGUCCUGCCUUUGCUUCGUUUGAUGCUGUGAAGUUCAUCAAUAUUCAUCAGGACGGGAGAGACAGAGAGACUAAUUUUCAGCUGAGGCAGCUGGGUGGCUCGCUGUCAGCACUGACACCAGCAGCAAGGCCGGAUUCUUUGCCUUUUGGCAUCUCCACCGUCCUCCAGCAGGAAUCCUGCACUGCCACUGCACUACGGGGAUUCAGGCAUGACUCCCGUGCUCAUCCUAGCAACUCCAGAUGAGAGCACAGGAAAAUCAAACAAGCUUGCAGGGUGAUGACCAGAAGCUUUAAAGGGUGUGCUGGUAUAUGUAGCUUGCUGGUAAGGGAAAGCAUUUACAGUUCUUCCAAGAGCUUUUUGUUUUCCCCAAAUGCUGGUCUUAGCAGACCAAUUCAUAUUUUUCCUGCUCUAUGAAGUGCCCUCCUGAUAAGUAUAAAUUACGUUACAUAUGCACUUGUUUUAGAAUUUGCUAAUGUUAUUUGCCUGGUAUGUGCUUGGUGGUCUUAGCAUAACUGCCUGUUGGGAUUAUAUCCUCAAAGGAGUUUAAAUCCUAUUUCCAAAGUACUGCCACCACAUAGGGCAAAGGCAGAUAUUACAGAUCGGCAAACAUUUACUGCUCUGGAAGCUGAACCUUUGGGAAGUUCUGGGCAGAGAAACCUUGUGAGGCCCUGCAAGACAGCUGUGCCUCAGCAGCAGGGCUGAGAUCAGACACCAAACCAGCUCUGAAGCUGUGGAUCCCCCCUGUACUAUGUACCUCCACCGAGUUGCCCUGGUGAGAUGGGAUGGUGAGGUCAGGGGCAGCAUCACAGGGAUGUGACUGCUGAUUUUUUAGAGCUGGUCCCUGGGCUGUGCCAGCCUCCUUGGAGGUGUCUCCCCACCUCUGUGGCAGCACAGAUCUGCAGGGCAUUUCUGAAAAGGGGAUGUGGAUACUUUCAGCGUUGGCAGUGUCACCCCACGUCCACAGGCCUUCUGCUUCUCAUAGUGGUAGCGAUGGCAGAAAGCAGCAGCAGCACUGGCUGCUGUUUCGUUAGCGUGCCUCGUGCUGGUACGUGCAGCAGUUCCCUUCAGACUCAAGGGCUGUGACCCUGCGUGGCCUCUGUGGGUGUCUGUGCGGGUGGUGGCAGGGGCUACAAGUUCAUGUGCCCUUCGUAGUCCCAGGGGGAUGACAACUUCCAUCACCUUUGCCAGGUUUGUGCUGGCUGUGGCAGAUCAGAUGUGACUGCAGACUCACUGCACUUUUUCCUUCAUCGGAUAGCCAAGACAGAGGUAAAUGUUGCACCCCACUGGGGAGAAUAAAAUCCCGCAGCUGAGAGCAAGAGUGACACUUUUCAUUAUUUCUGUGCUCCAAGUAAUUUUCCUUUUCGAGAGCCCUUCAAACCAAGCAAAUGAAGACCUUUCUUCUGUACAGCCAGUGGCACUCCAGAAGAUCUGCUCUGCUCUCCGGAGUUUCCACUGAUGUUGUUGUAGCCCUCAGGCUGUAAUCCAGAUCCAGUGAUCUGAGGCACUCGCUGGAGAUACCCUGGAGUCUUAGGUUUUGCUUUAACUCUUUACCUUACUAAACUUGAACCUCUUCAUGGAACAGCAACAUCUUUUUCCACUUGCAAAGCUCCAUCUAAUCUGACCAUCCUUGUCGAUAAGGGGAGAGAAAGUAAUAGCAGAAAUGAAAAACCAAAAGGUAUGUGCUUCUGCUCUCAGUUUGGGAUGUAGGCUGACCUCGGUGUCCCUGAGAUUGGCCUGAUUUCAUGUGUGACUUUGGCUUGCUUUUGGCAUGCAGGAACUCGCAGCUGAUCCAAACUCAUUCAGAAGCUCAGCAGAUGCUUCUGUGAGCCUCUUCUAUGUUUAGAAAUGGAAAUGAAGCAUGAAACCAGGUGCUUUCUGUGCUGUCCUGAAUUAUGGAUUUUCUUCUUGUUAGAACACAGUUUACACAUCCUCUGGUUUAUCAUUUUUGAAGUAUACAGUGCAAAAUACCAGGUUGUCCCUGACAACUGGUUGUGGUACCCCAGGACCUGCUGUCUUCCAUAAGGCUCUGCUCCAGUCCAUUUGAAUUCAACAAUAACCUUUCAUUCAGGGGUGAGUGAGGGCUCUGUGGAGUACUAGGAGCCAAUACUGCAAAUAAAACUGAGCCUAGCUGUGGACUUUGUGAAGUUCUCUGUGCUAGAUUAUGCAGGAGAUCUGAAAAGAAGAUCUAAUCCUAAUCUCAAUGAAAAAGGAACGAGUGUUUUUGAGAUUAAGCAUCAGAGGACUUUUAUAUAUAUAUAUUUUAAGAGAACUUUAUUACAAAGCAAGAAACACUUUAGCUUUCUGUUCAGAAUAUGUCGGCACUUUGUUGUAUUUUGAAAAAAAAGACACAAGAAUGGUCAAACUAUUGCCACCAUGACUGCAGGUUUGAAAUAAAUAAUAAAAAAAAAAAAAUGGAAAAAGGGCUGCAGAUUUUUCAUAUGAUGGGCUUUGCAUUUAGCAAGAGUAAUCACUUUAAAUCUCAGCUGAAAUGCUGGGUGGAGGAAAAGAAAAAUGAAUAUCGUCAUGAUUGAACGGAGUCUGGCAGGAUGCUUUGUUGUUUGUGGCUUUUAUUCUUUAAAGUAUUUUUCAGCUACUAAAACUAUGGCUUCUCUGUACGCUGAACACCAAUAAUGGAGGCCAAUAAAGGGAGAAGAAGAAACUGCUGAGAACACAUCUAAAGGUGAAAGGUUUCAACUCCUGGCUCGCAGUAGCUUGCAGGGAAUCCACCAUCAUUUUGUUCGUAGUGAUUAAAGGCUGCUCAGUGUGAGCCGUGGCCGUGUCAUUAUGCAACUCUUCCACCAGCUCCUGUACGUGCAGAGCGAGGCUCCGGCACGGCACUCAUCAGCUCUCUUCCUAAAUGACCUUGAGCUGCCCAGAAUAUCCUCCCUACCUUUGAGAACCGAGGACUCGUAAUAAUAGAAACUGCAACGAAACCCAGCCGUAACUUGCUGACAAAAUCAAAGGGUGUGGUGAAGUCAGGGCUAGCAUGUCUCUCACAAAAACCCCCUUUCUCAGAAAAUUGUGUUUUAUUGUUUCCAGCCCCGGGAGCUCGUAUUACACACUAGGCAGACCUAGCAGGGCCCUGUCAUUCAUCAGUCAGUUUUAUGGCAUGACAGGAGCCUGAGAAGUUAGAAGCCAGUUAAACAAAUUAAAAAAUGUAAUGGGAUUCUGACUGCAUCUUGCAAAAGAAGAAAGGAAGGGCCUUGGGAUGUCUGUUCUUCAUAGGGUGGGUACGGGGGCCCCCAAAAGGCAGCAACAGCAAGGUAGCCACUGCAGAGAGAGAGAGAGACAGAGAGAGAGAGAGAGAGCAGCUUCCAAAAUUUUGCAAAGGAAAUUAAAAUGUGAUUCCUGUCAAGUCGCCUCUUAUGAGCCCUCAUUUUCCCAUUAACAUUUUGGACAAUGUGACAUUCAGAAAAUCAAAAACGUUAACUGGCUCUGAACUACUUUUCCUCUCUAAUAUGAUUUUGCUUCAACUGACCGGAGAGCAAAUCUUUUGUGAGGUAUCCAAGACCUCAGCAUAUGAGGAACUCUUUCUAGAAACUACAUGUAAUGGCUCUGCCAAUUUAUCUGACAGAUGUGGUUAUUUCAGUGACAAAGUGCCCUGGGACCCUCUAAUCCCCCUUCUCCAAAAAAAAUAAAAUAAGAAAUAAAUAAAAUCCCCACUAUCGCUUUAUUCAUCUCCCUAAAAUAUUUUGGAAGGUGAACUUCUGAUUUAUAAAAAUGAUAUUAGGUGGGUCGUUUUUCCUUAUUUAAUGGGUCAUGAUCUGUAGGCUAUUGUUUUAAUCAAGAUGUAAGCCACUGUCGGGGCUGACUAAGAAGAGUUCACAGAGCAGCAGUGAGUGUAAGCGGUCUCGGUGACACGAAUACAAACUCAGCAGCUCAGCUCGCUGCAGCUCAGAGUGGAUUAAUUUCCCAUGGCAGACGCCAGCCUCGUGCCAAAGACUAACCCCGUCUUUAGGAUUUUCACGUUCCUCACCCUUGUUGCUCUACGGAGUACAGAAAUAGCUAGAAACAGGCCCAAAUCACAAGGUGUGCGGUGAUCUCUGCAGCAUUUCUUCAGAGUUGGGCUGUGCUGGGGUUUUUCUUGAGGCUCCUUGGAUGCCAUGGCCCAGGGAUGGAAGAAAAGAGCAGGGGUUACGUUUCCCUCACUCGGAGGGCUUCAUUAAUUGACAUUUUACAUUGCUAUGGACAAACCAAAAAUUAGCAAAGCACAAUUGAGUCGUCAUUAAGCAGGCUGGAAUGAAAUUUUUGGUCUACCAGAGGUGACAGAAAACACCACUGAGAGGUGUUGCUGAGCAAGUUUAGUGGCAGUGAGCACAGUGGGCAUGCUCUCAGACUGUGUCUGGUUUUGAUUUCUGCAUCUUCCAGGCUGCGAAUACUGCCCAGAAAGCUUCCCAACCCCAUUGCAGGGACCCUGGAGUGUUUCAGCUGACCUGCAGAUGACUUUUGGCUGUGGGCUGGAGCCACGGGAAACUUUGUAAGUUCCAAAAUGAGGCAAAACUCAGAAUUUUUUAAAAUUUGUUGAACAAUAUCCAUUCAAAGGUUACAAGUUCCUACCAACUGAGAAGAAAGCUGGAGUGGAAUGAUGCAGGAGAACAGAGCAUAGGAUGGGCAAAAGAAAGCACAAGAGACUCAUCUCCUCGGAGAGAGCCUUGUUCCCAGCAUCUGAGAGGAAGGAGCCCGGUGGUACCUACUAGCAGGAGGAGCUGGAAAUCCUGAGCUUGUACUUUUCUACUCAUCAUGGGGAACACUGAGAACAGACACACGUUUGUCUCUCCAGAGCAUUUCAGGCAAGCUAAAAGUUUGCACUCAGACUUUUGAAUGAGAGAAGAAAGUAAAUAUCUGAUACAUCUUUUCAGCCAGCAUGGAGAAGUGGGAGCAGCAUCACCUCCUCGUAAAGGAAACUUGACAAAUCUGUGUUAACUACACUUCCUGGAAAAUGGUUUGAUAAGUGUGAAAGAAAAUAGGUAAGAAAGGAUGUAGGGGUUUUAUCCCACUCACGCUCUAGGUUUCCAUGCUAGAUGAGAGCUGAUUGUCAGUGUUAGCGCUCUCCUAAAGACAGCGAGGGCAGAAUGAGGCUCUCUCUGUGCUUUCUGGUGUCAUCAAGCAUGGCAGGUUAUGAAAGCAAAUGGGAAAUCACAGCUCUGUGUACGAAGCUAUGUUAUGUAUUCCAUGGAGCAAGUCUCUUGUACUGUGUGGUGUGCAUGUUACUGUUACGAGAUACUGGCAUUAAAUCCCUUGAUUA